AUAACGAACGAGACCUUAGCCCUUAAAUAGAGUUGCUGGCAUUUGCUGGUAAAUCUUCUUAUGGGGACUAUCGAUUUCAAGUCGAUGGAAGUUUGAGGCAAUAACAGGUCUGUGAUGCCCUUAGACGUUCUGGGCCGCACGCGCGCUACACUGACGGAGCCAGCGAGCUUUUCCUUAGCCGAGAGGUUUGGGUAAUCUUGUGAAACUCCGUCGUGCUGGGGAUAGAGCAUUGUAAUUAUUGCUCUUCAACGAGGAAUUCCUAGUAAGCGCAAGUCAUCAGCUUGCGUUGAUUACGUCCCUGCCCUUUGUACACACCGCCCGUCGCUAGUACCGAUUGAAUGGCUUAGUGAGGCUUCAGGAUUUGCUUAGAUCGAGGGGCAACUCUCUUUCAGAGCGGAGAAUCUAGUCAAACUUGGUCAUUUAGAGGAACUAAAAGUCGUAACAAGGUUUCCGUAGGUGAACCUGCGGAAGGAUCAUUA
rfam:Hanseniaspora uvarum DSM 2768 Contig_230, whole genome shotgun sequence.